CAUUUUUGUUCUCAGGUCCAUGUUCAGUUACUGAGGUCCUGUAGGUACCAGACCUGACAACAAAUACAAAAAGAGAAUCAAGCUCACUCAGAUGUAGCUAAACAAACUAGCGUAAAGUUGCAAUGCCCUCAGAAAUGUUCCACAUUUUGAAACAUAAUGACCCUAAGCAUUUUUUAAUGAGACAGACCAGGGGUGUGAAACUCAUUUUCAAUUUGGGCCACAUUUGGAUGUUCUCAAGGUCCCAAAAUGCAUUGAUAAGACCCUUUAAAAAACCUUUACCAUAUUAAUAAACAGCUGCCUCUGCAUUUGAUAAGUAUUCAACAUCUUUUCACAUUGAUCACAUUCGGAUUCCAUGAUUGCUUUUGUGAUUUUUUAAUUAUUUUGGAGUUACCAGUCAUUUAAACUAAAUGCUUUUGACUAUUUUUGUGGAGAAUUUGCAAUAAACUCACAGCUAUGCAUUAGCGCAAAAAAAAAAAAAAAGACAAAAAAAAAAAAAAAACAAUGCAGACAUUUGCUGAUUUUUGCAUGAAUUUGAAUUGGAGGGAAUGAUGGAUACAAUUUCACAUCUGGAGACUAGUAGGCCACAUAAAAAGAUAAGGCGGGCCUGAUUUGGCCCUGGGGCCUCGAGUUUGACACAUGUUUACUAGACCAACAAAAAUCAGUUCAGGGGAAGGAAAAAGGUACUUAGUCUAAAUGGUGUAAAUAAAAACUAGUUCUUACAUUUCCAAUCCCAGGUUUCUUAAACAUCAAUUUUGCAACCCAGAGUAAUGUAUUGACAGUUACAUUUUACUCUAACUUAUAAACUAAUAUAUCUGCAAUUCCUUCAUAAAUAUCCAGUAAAUCCUUCCUUACCUUGGACUCCUAAAAUCGGUUCUUAGAUAUGCGAGUAAAUGUACGAUCCUGUCUUCAAACGACAUUUCUUCUUCACACACUCAGCAGAUUGUUGGCCUGCUGACUUUGGCAGAUACAUUUGACACCAGGUGGUUUAGAAGUCCGAAUGUCUUAAAUGAAAACAAGUAAGUCUGGGUUUCUUCUGGUUUCCAUGGCAAUUCACCAUGGCAACUCUAGGAAUCAGACAAACUGCUGAAUUAUUGG